CCCUUGAUAGCUCAGUUGGCAGAGCGAUGGACUGUAAUAGAUUAAAGCCAUCCACAGGUCACCGGUUCAAAUCCGGUUCGAGGGA